AAGCGGUUGCCCUCUGAGGGGUUCCGUGUUUUUCAGUACGAGGAUCAGACUUAGUUGGAGGCUGUAAGAGGAGGUUUUCCUAACCUUGUUCUGGUUCCUGAGAGGCACAAAGAUUUCUGCUUUUGAGUUUCUGCUCUGGUAAGUUGUGAUUCUCUGUGUCUGCCUGACUGUCUCCAACUUUGGAGGCAGUAGCUUGUCUUUUGACCUCACCUAUUUGACAGAUCUAAGAAGAAUUGCCGAUUUUUCAGUUUGUUCAGCAUUUUAUUUGCUGUUAAGAUGGAGUGAGGACUUCUAGCUCCUUGCUGGAUCAGAAACUGGAAAUCUCAGUAGUAUGUUCACUUUUGUAUCCAUGUGAAAUUCAUUUUUUAAUCUUUCAUACAGAAAGUUUUCACUACUUGCCUAAAGGGUCAGACAGACAUCAUAUCCCCAAAAUAAAAAUAGGGUAUAAAUGUGCUUUGAAGUAUUGUUGGGAAGAGCCUGAAAAACCAUUAAAAAAUAUUUAUUUCAUCCAGUAGUCCUCCCCAGUGGAAUCUAAAAAACUGUUACUGGAUUCCAAGCCAAAACUAUGCUCUGUUGAAACAUUUUGAUCAUGGAGGAGUUUUCUAGGCAGAGGAUGAUGAAGCCUGUUCUUUUCAGAAGAACGAAUAUAUGGAAUAGCCUAAUGGAGUGGAAAAAUGUGGAGUUCUUAGGGGAAUCAUAAAUGCUUUAGUAUGGACAGGAAAUGAGACGAGAGUGAAGGUGUAUGGGUAAGGAGAUGUGAUGAAAAGGAUAGGAAAGCAGGAAAAUAAUGGAGCUUGAGAACCCUCAGGUUCCAUGCCAAGGAGCUCAACUCGAUCACAUGGUGCAAAUAAUUCAUACCAUGUUUUCUGAAACCCUGGGAUCUUUUAGGGAUUCAACAACAGUUGGCUUUGAUGUUCAUUUCAAAAA